rnacentral:rRNA from 1 species
UGACUGGCUUCGGUCCGUAAACCCCUGUCAUUCGCGAGCAAUGCUUUGUGUCGAAUAGGCGCAAAGCUGAUAGUAGCGAAAGAGGAAGGGACGGCUAACUCUGUGCCAGCAGCCGCGGUAAUACAGAGGUCCCAAGCGUUGUUCGGAUUCACUGGGCGUAAAGGGUGCGUAGGUGGUGGGGUAAGUUUGAUGUGAAAGCCCCGGGCCCAACCCGGGAAUGGCAUUGAAUACUAUCCUGCUGGAGGGUCGGAAGGGGGACUGGAAUUCUCGGUGUAGCAGUGAAAUGCGUAGAUAUCGAGAGGAACACCAGUGGCGAAGGCGAGUCCCUGGGCGACUCCUGACACUGAGGCACGAAAGCUAGGGGAGCAAACAGGAUUAGAUACCCUGGUAGUCCUAGCCGUAAACGGUGCGCACUUGCUGUGAGCGGAAUCGACCCCGCUCGUGGCGAAGCAAACGCGUUAAGUGCGCCGCCUGGGGAGUACGGUCGCAAGAUUA